GUAAUUAUUAUCAUUGUUCAGACGCUGAUUGAAGAUUAAAAAGGUUUUUAGGGUUGUCCAACCGGCAGGCAAGCCUGCCGAGGAAACUUGGGUACGCAAAAAGACAAGGGUGCAGACAGGGAAGUUGCUCAUCUCCAUGCUGACGGUGCAGCUUGUAGAAUCACACUUCCCCCUGACCUGUAGCAAGCUACAGAAUGUAAUGAUCCUUCCGCAGGUUCACCUACGGAAA
rnacentral:misc_RNA from 1 species